rnacentral:tRNA from 1 species
UCCCUGGUGGCUCAGAGGGUAAAGCGUCUGCCUUCAAUGCAGGAGACCUGGGUUUGAUCCCUGGGUGGGGAA